GACGAACGCUGGCGGCGUGCCUAAUACAUGCAAGUAGAACGCACAGUUUAUACCGUAGCUUGCUACACCAUAGACUGUAAGUUGCGAACGGGUGAGUAACGCGUAGGUAACCUGCCUGGUAGCGGGGGAUAACUAUUGGAAACGAUAGCUAAUACCGCAUAAUAUUAAUUAUUGCAUGAUAAUUAAUUGAAAGGUGCAAUUGCACCACUACCAGAUGGACCUGCGUUGUAUUAGCUAGUAGGUGAGGUAACGGCUCACCUAGGCGACGAUACAUAGCCGACCUGAGAGGGUGAUCGGCCACACUGGGACUGAGACACGGCCCAGACUCCUACGGGAGGCAGCAGUAGGGAAUCUUCGGCAAUGGACGAAAGUCUGACCGAGCAACGCCGCGUGAGUGAAGAAGGUUUUCGGAUCGUAAAGCUCUGUUGUAAGAGAAGAACGGGUGUGAGAGUGGAAAGUUCACACUGUGACGGUAUCUUACCAGAAAGGGACGGCUAACUACGUG
rnacentral:rRNA from 1 species